UGAACGCUAGCGGCAGGCUUAACACAUGCAAGUCGAACGGUAAGGCCCUGCUUGCAGGGUACACGAGUGGCGCACGGGUGCGUAACGCGUAUGCAACCUACCUUUAACAGAGAGAUAGCCCCGAGAAAUUGGGAUUAAUAUCACAUAAUAUCAUAAUGCAGCAUUGUAUAAUGAUUAAAGCUCCGGCGGUUAAAGAUGGGCAUGCGUAACAUUAGCUAGUUGGUAAGGUAACGGCUUACCAAGGCAACGAUGUUUAGGGGUUCUGAGAGGAUUAUCCCCCACACUGGUACUGAGACACGGACCAGACUCCUACGGGAGGCAGCAGUGAGGAAUAUUGGGCAAUGGACGAAAGUCUGACCCAGCCAUGCCGCGUGCAGGAAGACGGCCCUAUGGGUUGUAAACUGCUUUUAUAUACCAAGAAACUCAGGGACGUGUCCUUGACUGACGGUAGUAUAUGAAUAAGGAUCGGCUAACUCC
rnacentral:rRNA from 1 species